CCCACGCUGCUUAUCAUAUGUUUAACAUGGACCAAGGGGCGCAUGCAUAUGCUACUACAUGCACGUACCAGGUCAAAGCAUUAGCUGAUUCAGUUCUAAAUACAUCAGGUUCAGGUCUUAUUUGGAGCUCCAAUAAAAUAAGAGGUACCAUUAAUUUGUUUGCGCUGCCUAGACCGACGGAGGUAAAUCAUGAUUCAAUUUGGACACGUAUAGAUGAUUUUAUGUGGGACUCUAAUUGGAGAGAUAGAGGUGCAGCUCGCUGGUUUAAAAGGAAGCAGGCACAGCCAAGAUUCUUAUUUUUAUUACUGCCAUGUAAGGAGAAGAUUGGUCACGUAUCAUCCAGAAAUUUUGCAUGGAACUUCCUUUCCUUGAAAAGCAUCGGUUGGGGCCCGCCAGAAAGAUAUGGCGCGCAAGAUUAAGUUAGCUAGAAAAUCUAAUCCAAGAUGUAAAAGGAUUGGACACGUUUAUUUUAUAGUACUAAUUUAUUUUCUUUUCCAACUUGUGUGAGUGCGUGAGGGGUUAGGCCAGGUUUGAGUGGUUAUAUAUAAAGCCUUAUGCAUCAUUGUAAGAGGUCAGGUUAUGUUAAGAUGAAUUAGACACCGUGUGUGUUUCGGCCGUCGGUCAUUAUCGAGUUUUGAGAAAUCUUGUCAAAAGUCUCUACUGGCGUGUGAGUUCCUGCGACGCGGCGCGUAGGACAUUACAAGCUGAACCUAUACGGUUCGUCCACGUUAUUCCUUCUGACUGAGGGGUUGGCGUGUUGUUUUGCGAGGUUUGUGAAUAUCUUUGUAAACCCGCAUCUAGUUUUUGCUGCGAUGGAAUUUUGUGCCGUGAAAGAUCGGGCCAACAACGGAUCGACCUUCGCCUCGAGGUUCGCUUCUCAUCAAGUGGUAUCAGAGACCGGUGUUUCUCACGGCACUUCGGAGGAGAUGGCCGGCGCACCAUCACCAAGGAGCUACUGGAGGAGAAGGGUUAUGGUGCUGAUCUUUUUCACACCUACUGUAAAGUGGGAGAGAGAGUUUGCGCCAUGACGAUCGACCAGGAUAGUUCGAUCAAUGCGGUUGGCGUGGACAUGGUGGAGAAGUUACAGCUAUCAGCGACACCACAUCAACGACCGUACUCAUUGAGGACGUGCUACAACAAGCUUGACAUAACGCACCAAACUACGGUGUUGUUUUCAGUCGGCAAAUUUUCUUGUGCGGUUUUGUGUGACAUAAUUCCGACACCAUUGAAUUCGUGUCAUAUGCUACUGGGAAAGCCUUGGUAUAAAAAAACAUUGCAACACAUGACUAUCUCGCCAAUACUGGGAAAGCCUUGGUAUAAAAUAGCAUUGAUAUGACCAAUCCUAGCUCCAGUCGUGUUGAUGUUGCAGUUGUUCAAGGAUUUGAACGCAUGCAUGUUGGUUCGGCCCAUGCUGCUUUUCAUAUGUUUAACAUGGACCAAGGGGCGCAUGCAUAUGCUACUACAUGCACGUACCAGGUCAAAGCAUUAGCUGAUUCAGUUCUACAUACAUCAGGUUCAGGUCUUAUUCGGAGCUCCAAUAAAAUAAGAGGUAUCAUUAAUUUGUUUGCGCUGCCUAGACCGGCGGAGGUAAAUCAUGAUUCAAUUUGGACACGUAUAGAUGAUUUUAUGUGGGACUCUAAUUGGAGAGAUAGAGGUGCAGCUCGCUGGUUUAAAAGGAAGCAGGCACAGCCAAGAUUCUUAUUUUUGUUCGGUAUCCGUCCCUAGGGUGACGGUUCGGUAUCCCUCCGGCGAUUACGGGGGCGAUUAGUGUUCGGGAUCGCGGCGCCGCCACGCCUUCAUUCCUGAUCAAUCGCUUCUCUCUGGGAACUGAUCGUUCUCUCUCGCUCAUCCGUUCCCAGUGAGCCUCGUCGUAAACCAAUCCACAUCUCAGCCUUCUGUGUGCUUCCUAGGGUGCACGGUCGUAAAACACUAAAACCCUAGGCGGGAAGAACUGGGAAGGAGGGAUACAGUGGGACGAUGGAGGGCGUUGCGGGUAUGAUGAGGAGUCUGAAGUUGUCUGAGGAGGAGAGGAAGGGGGUCAGAAUCCGGUCGGCAGGGAAGGAGAAGGGUAAGGCGGUGGAGUUCCAGGCAGUGGGAAGGGUGGUUUCGGAGAAGCCGGCGCAUCCUGAUGCGGUUAGCCUCUCUCCGAGAAGGGUUUGGUGUCCAAUAAAGGGGACCGAUUGCAGGGAGGCAGGAGACAAUAGAUUCAUUUUUACCUUCAAACAAGAAUCGGGAAAGAGGAAGGCGCUGGAAGAUGGACCAUGGAUGUUUGAUAAGGAGUUGGUAGUGGUGGAGGACUAUGAUCCAGCAAAAAGAAUUGAGGAUUAUGACUUCGAUGAGAUCCCAAUAUGGGUAAGAAUUUUCAACCUGCCCUUGGGCAUGAUGCACGAGGAUUCAGUAGAAGAGAUUGGCAAUGUCAUCGGAAGGUUUGUGGAGGUGGAUGCGGGUGUGGACGGGAAAGCUAUUGGCAAGUUCCUAAGGGUAAAGAUUAGAAUGAAGAUCAAUAAACCAAUAAUGAGGGGUUUUACCCUAGAUGAUGAUGAGGCCGGAGAAGGGGAAAAGAGAAAUAAGAAGAUGAACAUAGACGGGAAGGAAGAAGAGGAUAUGGAGGGGUUCUGGUGCCGGUUCGAAUAUGAGUUCCUCCCCGAUUUUUGCUAUACCUGCGGUCUCAUUGGCCAUGUUGCAAAGGAGUGCGCAACCAAGCUCAGUAAAGGAGAGAAAGCCCAGUUUGGUCCGUGGUUGCGAGCGGAUAUUGGUAGAAGGAGAUUCAGUUUUGAGGAAGAACGUGCUUGGAGGGGGGAAAGGAGACAACUCAGGAGGUAGCAGGGUUUACGGCAUUGGGCAGUCGAGUGGCAGGACGGGUAGCGGAAGUGGAAGUGAUAGCUUGAGCUGGAGGAAAGGGGAUGAGCUAAAUAAGGGCAAGAAAGGAGGAAGAUUAGAGGGGGAGGAAGAAGUAACGAGCCCAGUUAAGCUGCUGAAGUACGAGCCACCACGCGGAGGGAUCCCCAAAAAGCUUGUUAUGGACGAACCCACGGAGCAAAGGAAAUCACCAAUGAGGAAUAACAUAGCUCAGCCCAGGAAAUAGUGGAAGGAAGGCAGGAGCCUUGCGUGACUAAUGGAGAAGUGUUGACUAUGAAUGCUACGCCUACUGAAUUAACACCAGGGAAGAAUGGUCAAGUGGGGCUAGCUCCGGAGCCCACACAGAAGGGAGGUGGUAAGGGUUCCGCUGACAAAGCCAACAUCUAUAAACCAGCCAAAUUCCAUCGGAUUCCUAGAGGUGAGGACAAGGAACGAACACCAGGUCAGAGUUUGGAGAAAAUAGUUGGGAGUAAGAGGAGCCAUGAUGGGGUGGAUGGAGUGGGUGCGGGGCCGGAGGAGGAAGCCAAAAGGGGGCGGCUGAUGGAGGUGGACGUGUCAGGAGUCGGCGAGGGGAGGAAGGAGGAGUGCAGCAACACAAACCAGAUAUCGGCCGGGCUGUCGGAGCAGCCCCGCCGAACACAAUGAAACUUAUCAGCUGGAACUGCCGGGGGCUUGGGAACGGCCCGGCAGUUCGUUCGCUCCUCGAAUUGGGGAGAGUGGAGGAUCCUGAUGUGCUCUUUUUGGCGGAGAUAAGACUUACGGAGAAGGAAUUGGAUAGGUUUCGGUGGACACUCGGCUUGCCGAACAUGACAGCUUGGAAUCCGGUGGGUAGAAGCCGUGGUGUGGCAUUGUAUUGGAAGAGAGGGAUGGAUGUGUGACUACGGUCUUAUGGGCGGAGGCACAUAGAUGUUGAUAUCACGGAAGAAGAUGGUUCGGUUUGGCGCAUGACAGGGAUAUAUGGGGAGUCGGCAACGGAGAGGAAGAAGGAGACAUGGAGAACACUCAAGCUACUCAAGCAAUAACAUCAACAUGGUCGGCCAUGGUUGUGUCUGGGUGACUUCAACGAAAUUCUCUCCGGGAUUGAGAAGGUGGGGGGCGCCGAACGAUCACAGAGAAUGAUGGAAGGAUUUAGGGAGGCGCUGGAGGUUUGCGAGUUGGCGGAUUUAGGUUUUGAGGGGGAUAUUUUCACGUGGCGGAACCAUAGCAAGGAGUUGAGCACGUACAUCUGCGAGAGACUUGAUAGAGCCACUGCUAACGCGGCGUGGAGUACAAAGUUUUGGGAGCAUGCAGUGGUGAAUGGGGCACCUCGCCACUCGGAUCAUCGGCCUAUUAUUGUCAGCACGACGGGCCUCGACAGGAGUUGGAAGGGAGGGGAUAGAGGAUUCCAUUUUGAGGCGAGAUGGCUACAAGAGGAAGGAUGUGAAGAGGUGAUCCGGGAGGCUUGGGAGAGAAGCUGGGAGGGGAGACAUGGUGGUGUAGCUCAUGCGUUGAAGGAGAUAGCGGGGAAGAUGAAGGUGUGGGACAAGGAAGUAGUUGGAGCAGUGGAAGGGAGGUUAAGAAAGGCGAAAACAGACUUGGAGCGGUGUAUGAAGGAAGUAGUGUCACAAGAGAAGAUAGAGGAGGAAGCAAGGUUAAGAUGCUUGGUUGAUGAGUUGGAGGAGAAGAAGAAUACUAUGUGGAAGCAAAGAGCGCAUGUAUGGUGGUUACUGGAGGGCGAUAGAAACACUCGAUUUUUCCAUCUUAUGGCUUCGGUGCGCAAGAAAGCAAACAAGAUUAAGGAGCUUAGAAGGGAGGAUGGGUCGGUAGUAGAGGAGAAGGAUUUAACUAACUAUGUUUGUGCAUAUUUUCAGGAAUUAUUCACUUCUACAGCUGGUACCCGUGUUGAUGAACUUAUUGCCAAAGUGCAACCGAGAGUUACUGCUGCUAUGCUCAAUGUACUUGAUGCAGAAUUCACGCGGGACGAAGUGAAAGCGGCCCUAGAUCACAUUGGUGAUCUGAAAGCCCCGGGUCCGGAUGGCAUGCCAUCGAUAGUAUUCAAGAAGCACUGGCAUUUUAUGGGCGAUUAUAUUGUGGAGGAAGUUCUUGCGGUCUUGAAUGGUGGGGAAAUUCCGGAGGGAUGGAACGAUACAGUGGUGGUUCUAAUACCCAAGGUAAAAGACCCAAACAGAAUUAAAGAUCUUCGCCCGAUAAGCUUGUGUAACGUUCUGUACAAGUUGGUUUCCAAAGUGUUGGCAAAUAGGCUCAAGGUGCUGCUCCCAGAAAUCAUUUCAGAGAACCAGAGUGCGUUCAUACCCGGAAGGUUGAUCACAGACAACAUGUUAAUAGCAUAUGAAGCCUCUCAUUUUCUUAGGCACAAGAAAAAUGGGAAGGAAGGGGUGGCUGCGAUCAAAGCGGACAUGAGCAAGGCAUACGAUCGUGUGGAGUGGAGAUUCCUAGAUGCAAUGUUGUGCAAACUUGGCUUCCGUAGGCGAUGGGUAGAACUCAUCAUGAAAUGUGUCACAACGGUCCGUUACCAAAUAAAAGUGAACGAUGUGUUAACAGAACAAUUUGUGCCAACGCGAGGACUGAGGCAGGGGGAUCCCCUUUCCCCUUACCUCUUUGUUAUUUGUGCCGAGGGAUUGUCCGCGUUAUUGCAUGAAGCUGAGGAGCAAGGGAGAAUCAGUGGGUCAAGAUCUGCCAGAACGCACCCAGUGUCUCACAUCUGUCGUUCGCCGAUGACUCGGUGAUUUUUCUGAAGGCAAAGCAGGACGAGGCCGCUGCCCUCCAUGAGAUUGUACAGCUGUAUGAGAAUUGCUCGGGUCAAUGCAUCAACCAUGAAAAAUCGGCCAUCAUGUUUUCACCCAACACUGAUAUGUCCAUGAAGGCUCAAGUUAAGCCCGAGGUUCAGAUAACCAGUGAGGAUUGGAAGGAUCGCUAUCUUGGGCUUCCUGUCCACGUUGGGCGGUCCCGCCGUCGCACCUUUGCUUACAUCAAGAGGAGCCUCUAUGGGCAAGUCCAUGGAUGGCAAGAAAGGUUGCUAGCGAAGAUCGGAAAAGAAACCCUGGGAGCCCCCGCCACAUGAUAGAGUCAAGAUUAACCUCGAUGGUGCUUUCACGCCAGGAGAGAACUUUGUGUCGUGGGGAGUGGUGAUCCGGGAUCACACGGGAGAAGUGCUACUCGCGCGGGCUGGUCGCACAGACAACACCGCCGAUCCGUUUGCGGCAGAAGUAAUUGCCAUGUCCCAUGCGAUCUCUAUGGCUGUUGAUAUGGGUGCAUUGAGAGCGAUCUUUGAGACGGAUUCCAAACUCCUCCAAGAAGCGCUAGACCUCACGAAGGCAGAUGCAUCAUCGCAUGCGGCCAUGAUCGAGGAUAUCAAGCUCCAGCUGAAGAUGUGGUUUUCCAGCCAGUCCAUUAACGCAUGUCGUCGUAGUGCGAAUUCUGUCGCUCAUGAACUAGCAAAACUUGGUCGUUCGUGUAGCUUCAAUAACUGUUUCGAGUGGGACUCUCAUGUACCACCCGCAGUGGUUGUUUGUGUUACGGGUGAUUUGCCCGUACACCGUUAAUUUAUAAAGCUUUGCUUUGCCCUAAAAAAAAGAUUCUUAUUUUUGUUACUGCCAUGUAAGGAGAAGAUUGGUCACGUAUCAUCCAGAAAUUUUGCAUGGAACUUCCUUUCCUUGAAAAGCAUCGGUUGGGGCCCGCCAGAAAGAAAUAUGGCGCGCAAGAUUAAGUUAGCUAGAAAAUCUAAUCCAAGAUGUAAAAGGAUUGGACUCGUUUAUUUUAUAGUACUAAUUUAUUUUCUUUUCCAACUUGUGUGCGUGCAUGAGGGGUUAGGCCAGGUUUGAGUGGUUAUAUAUAAAGCCUUAUGCAUCGUUGUAAGAGGUCAGGUUAUGUUAAGAUGAAUUAGACACCGUGUGUGUUUCGGCCGUCGGCCAUUAUCGAGUUUUGAGAAAUCUUGUCAAAAGUCUCUACUGGCGUGUGAG
rnacentral:lncRNA from 1 species